rnacentral:rRNA from 1 species
UACGUAGGUGGCGAGCGUUGUCCGGAUUUACUGGGCGUAAAGGAUGCGUAGGCGGAUAUUUAAGUGAGAUGUGAAAUACCCGAGCUUAACUUGGGUGCUGCAUUUCAAACUGGAUAUCUAGAGUGUGGGAGAGGAGAAUGGAAUUCCUAGUGUGGCGGUGAAAUGCGUAGAGAUUAGGAAGAACACCAGUGGCGAAGGCGAUUCUCUGGACCAUAACUGACGCUGAGGCAUGAAAGCGUGGGUAGCAAACAGG